GACGAACGCUGGCGGCGCGCUUAACACAUGCAAGUCGAGCGAUGAAAUUUCGACAGAUCCCUUCGGGGUGAAGAUGAAAUGGAUUAGCGGCGGACGGGUGAGUAACACGUGAGUAACCUGCCUUUGACAUUGGGAUAGCCUCGGGAAACUGGGAUUAAUACCAAAUGACACUAACUGAUCACAUGAUCAAUUAGUCAAAGAAAUUCGGUCAAAGAUGGACUCGCGGCUGAUUAGCUAGUUGGUGAGGUAACGGCCCACCAAGGCGACGAUCAGUAGCCGGCCUGAGGGGGUGAUCGGCCACAUUGGAACUGAGACACGGUCCAAACUCCUACGGGAAGCAGCAGUGGGGAAUAUUGCACAAUGGGGGAAACCCUGAUGCAGCGACGCCGCGUGAGCGAAGAAGGCCUUCGGGUCGUAAAGCUCUUUUAUGAGGGAAGAUAAUGACGGUACCUCAAGAAAAAGCCCCGGCUAACUACGUG
rnacentral:rRNA from 1 species